UACGUAGGGGACAAGCGUUGUCCGGAUUUAUUGGGCGUAAAGAGCGUGUAGGCGGCCAUGCAGGUCCGUUGUGAAAACUCGAGGCUUAACCUCGAGCCGUCGAUGGAAACCGUAUGACUAGAGUCCGGAAGAGGAGAGUGGGAAUUCCUGGUGUAGCGGUGAAAUGCGCAGAUAUCAGGAAGAACACCCGUGGCGAAGGCGGGUCUCCUGGGCCGAUGACUGACGCUGAGGAGCGAAAGCCGUGGGGAGCGAACAGG
rnacentral:rRNA from 1 species